rnacentral:rRNA from 1 species
GACGAACGCUGGCGGCGUGCUUAACACAUGCAAGUCGAACGGAAAGGCCUGCUUUCCCUUGUGGAUUGCGGGUACUCGAGUGGCGAACGGGUGAGUAACACGUGAGUGAUCUGCCCCCAACUUGGGUAUAAGCCUGGGAAACUGGGUCUUAUUCCCGAUAGGACUGCAGGGUGGUGCCUGUGGUGGAAAACGAUUUUCUAGUGGUUGGGGAUGAGCUCGCGGCCUAUCAGCUUGUUGGUGGGGUAAUGGCCUACCAAGGCGGCGACGGGUAGCCGGCCUGAGAGGGUGGACGGCCACAUUGGGACUGAGAUACGGCCCAGACUCCUACGGGAGGCAGCAGUGGGGAAUAUUGCACAAUGGGCGGAAGCCUGAUGCAGCGACGCCGCGUGGGGGAUGACGGCCUUCGGGUUGUAAACUCCUUUCGACCGCGAGGAAGCCACCUGGUUGGAAGGGUGGUGACGGUAGUGGUAGAAGAAGCACCGGCUAACUACGUG